rnacentral:tRNA from 1 species
UAGCUCAGUCGGUAGGGCAUUGGUCUCGUAAUCCAGUUAUCCGGGUUCGAAACCAGG